rnacentral:rRNA from 1 species
AGUGAACGCUGGCGGUAGGCCUAACACAUGCAAGUCGAACGGCAGCACAGUAAGAGCUUGCUCUUACGGGUGGCGAGUGGCGGACGGGUGAGGAAUACAUCGGAAUCUACUUUUUCGUGGGGGAUAACGUAGGGAAACUUACGCUAAUACCGCAUACGACCUACGGGUGAAAGCAGGGGAUCUUCGGACCUUGCGCGAUUGAAUGAGCCGAUGUCGGAUUAGCUAGUUGGCGGGGUAAAGGCCCACCAAGGCGACGAUCCGUAGCUGGUCUGAGAGGAUGAUCAGCCACACUGGAACUGAGACACGGUCCAGACUCCUACGGGAGGCAGCAGUGGGGAAUAUUGGACAAUGGGCGCAAGCCUGAUCCAGCCAUACCGCGUGGGUGAAGAAGGCCUUCGGGUUGUAAAGCCCUUUUGUUGGGAAAGAAAAGCAGCAGGUUAAUACCCCGCUGUCCUGACGGUACCCAAAGAAUAAGCACCGGCUAACUUCGU